rnacentral:rRNA from 1 species
AGCGGCGAGCGAACGGGGAGCAGCCCAGAGCCUGAAUCAGUGUGUGUGUUAGUGGAAGCGUCUGGAAAGGCGUGCGAUACAGGGUGACAGCCCCGUACACAAAAAUGCACAUAUUGUGAGCUCGAUGAGUAGGGCGGGACACGUGGUAUCCUGUCUGAAUAUGGGGGGACCAUCCUCCAAGGCUAAAUACUCCUGACUGACCGAUAGUGAACCAGUACCGUGAGGGAAAGGCGAAAAGAACCCCGGCGAGGGGAGUGAAAAAGAACCUGAAACCGUGUACGUACAAGCAGUGGGAGCACGCUUAGGCGUGUGACUGCGUACCUUUUGUAUAAUGGGUCAGCGACUUAUAUUCUGUAGCAAGGUUAACCGAAUAGGGGAGCCGAAGGGAAACCGAGUCUUAACUGGGCGUUAAGUUGCAGGGUAUAGACCCGAAACCCGGUGAUCUAGCCAUGGGCAGGUUGAAGGUUGGGUAACACUAACUGGAGGACCGAACCGACUAAUGUUGAAAAAUUAGCGGAUGACUUGUGGCUGGGGGUGAAAGGCCAAUCAAACCGGGAGAUAGCUGGUUCUCCCCGAAAGCUAUUUAGGUAGCGCCUCGUGAAUUCAUCUCCGGGGGUAGAGCACUGUUUCGGCAAGGGGGUCAUCCCGACUUACCAACCCGAUGCAAACUGCGAAUACCGGAGAAUGUUAUCACGGGAGACACACGGCGGGUGCUAACGUCCGUCGUGAAGAGGGAAACAACCCAGACCGCCAGCUAAGGUCCCAAAGUCAUGGUUAAGUGGGAAACGAUGUGGGAAGGCCCAGACAGCCAGGAUGUUGGCUUAGAAGCAGCCAUCAUUUAAAGAAAGCGUAAUAGCUCACUGGUCGAGUCGGCCUGCGCGGAAGAUGUAACGGGGCUAAACCAUGCACCGAAGCUGCGGCAGCGACGCUUAUGCGUUGUUGGGUAGGGGAGCGUUCUGUAAGCCUGUGAAGGUGUGCUGUGAGGCAUGCUGGAGGUAUCAGAAGUGCGAAUGCUGACAUAAGUAACGAUAAAGCGGGUGAAAAGCCCGCUCGCCGGAAGACCAAGGGUUCCUGUCCAACGUUAAUCGGGGCAGGGUGAGUCGACCCCUAAGGCGAGGCCGAAAGGCGUAGUCGAUGGGAAACAGGUUAAUAUUCCUGUACUUGGUGUUACUGCGAAGGGGGGACGGAGAAGGCUAUGUUGGCCGGGCGACGGUUGUCCCGGUUUAAGCGUGUAGGCUGGUUUUCCAGGCAAAUCCGGAAAAUCAAGGCUGAGGCGUGAUGACGAGGCACUACGGUGCUGAAGCAACAAAUGCCCUGCUUCCAGGAAAAGCCUCUAAGCAUCAGGUAACAUCAAAUCGUACCCCAAACCGACACAGGUGGUCAGGUAGAGAAUACCAAGGCGCUUGAGAGAACUCGGGUGAAGGAACUAGGCAAAAUGGUGCCGUAACUUCGGGAGAAGGCACGCUGAUAUGUAGGUGAAGUCCCUUGCGGAUGGAGCUGAAAUCAGUCGAAGAUACCAGCUGGCUGCAACUGUUUAUUAAAAACACAGCACUGUGCAAACACGAAAGUGGACGUAUACGGUGUGACGCCUGCCCGGUGCCGGAAGGUUAAUUGAUGGGGUCAGCGCAAGCGAAGCUCUUGAUCGAAGCCCCGGUAAACGGCGGCCGUAACUAUAACGGUCCUAAGGUAGCGAAAUUCCUUGUCGGGUAAGUUCCGACCUGCACGAAUGGCGUAAUGAUGGCCAGGCUGUCUCCACCCGAGACUCAGUGAAAUUGAACUCGCUGUGAAGAUGCAGUGUACCCGCGGCAAGACGGAAAGACCCCGUGAACCUUUACUAUAGCUUGAC